UGGGGAAUAUUGCACAAUGGGCGCAAGCCUGAUGCAGCCAUGCCGCGGGUGUGAAGAAGGCCUUCGGGUUGUAAAGCACUUUCAGCGGGGAGGAAGGCGUUAAGGUUAAUAACCUUGGCGAUUGACGUUACCCGCAGAAGAAGCACCGGCUAACUCCGUGCCAGCAGCCGCGGUAAUACGGAGGGUGCAAGCGUUAAUCGGAAUUACUGGGCGUAAAGCGCACGCAGGCGGUCUGUCAAGUCGGAUGUGAAAUCCCCGGGCUCAACCUGAGAACUGCAUUCGAAACUGGCAGGCUAGAGUCUUGUAGAGAGGGGUAGAAUUCCAGGUGUAGCGGUGAAAUGCGUGGAGAUCUGAAUGAGUACCGGUGGCGAAUGCGGCCCCCUAAACAAAGACUGACGCUCAGGUGCGAAAGCGUGGGGAGCAAACAGG
rnacentral:rRNA from 1 species